UACAGAGGUGCGAGCGUUAAUCGGAAUUACUGGGCGUAAAGCGCGCGUAGGCGGCUUUGCAAGUCGAUUGUGAAAUCCCCCAGGCUUAACCCUGGGAACUGCAUUCGAGACUGCAUAGCUAGAGUAUGGGAGAGGGAAGUGGAAUUUCAGGUGUAGCGGUGAAAUGCGUAGAUAUCGGAAGGAACGACCAGUGGCGAAAGCGACUUCCUGGUCCAGCACCGACGUUCAGGCACGAAAGCGUGGGGAGCAAACAGG
rnacentral:rRNA from 1 species